rnacentral:rRNA from 1 species
UACGAAGGGGGCUAGCGUUGUUCGGAAUCACUGGGCGUAAAGCGCACGUAGGCGGGUCGUUAAGUCGGGGGUGAAAUCCCAGAGCUCAACUCUGGAACUGCCUUCGAUACUGGCGAUCUUCGAGUCCGGGAGAGGUGAGUGGAACUCCGAGUGUAGAGGCGAAAUUCGUAGAUAUGGGGAGGAACACCGGUGGCGAAGGCGGCCACCUGGACGGCAACUGACGCUGAGACGCGAAAGCGUGGGGAGCAAACAGG